AUCCUUUGGUAGUUUGUGGGUGUGAUGAUUGGGAAUUCACACUCAUGUGUGAGAUGUGUCACCCUUGAACCUUUUUACGACAUUGGCACAAUACCCGUCUAACA